AGCGCCAUUUAGAGGCAACCUUGGCUUCGCCCGUUUAGGCACAUCGCUUGAAAAACCGUCUCGAUGUUCUCCUGCUGGUGGUUGCAGCUUCUGAGUCGAUAAUACGGUGGCAACGACCAUCAGGAUGAAGAAACACACGCAGGUAGCAAAGCCUCCUGUCCCGUUUGCUCAUACAUCCGCACAAUAUCUUCCAAACGUUUCUUGUCCUUGUCAUCCUUGUCGACGUCAUCGUCGUCCCGACGUCUGGCAAGAAUCGAAAAGAGCACUCGUCCAGGUAGUGACUUCUCAUCCACGCAUGUGUACCCACACACUUUGAGGAUCCGCCAGAUCAAACCGUUUUUGGCACGCGCUUAUGGGCCCUAUAAGGCCUCUCUUUUGCAGCAUACUUUGUUCACACUCAACCCUUUGCCCGUGCUUUUCGGGCCUCGACACAAUUGGAAAUGGAAAAUUGAGCUAACACUGGAACCAUACGCGCGUACGGUACGAUAAUUAAAGAAAAAAUGAAGGAUAAAAAAAGCUUUUUUUCCGUGGGAAUAAUGAAUACUAAGGGUGAUGCGAGCUGGAGGCGACCGCGCGGAAGAACAGAAAGUAUUAUAAAGAGAACACGCGGUAGCUCACCGUAAUGGGAUACAUGUGAAACGAAAAGUACAAAAGUCGGACUGUACGGUGUGCACGUACUGCAACCCCCUUUAGAGACCAUUCACAAACCACACAGAAAAGAGUACAUUCUGUACAGAAGCUGGAUGCUGGAGAUAAGCGCAUCCAAGUGUGUAUAUACGGACGAGCAUCAGCUCUAUUCCUCGCACGCGUUAAAUAACUGUAUACCUAUGGGUAUGUAUGUAUAUGUGUAUAUGUGUAUUUAGUAACUUCAGAGGAGACUAUACUCUCUGAUGCACCGCCGUUCUCCUCCCUGUGCUCUCGCCACCCGCAGAAUUCCAUUACCUUUUUUUUU